CACGUAGGACCGCAGACUAAUGACGCCACGUCCUGUGGCAACGUCUGCAUGACCCCCAUCCUGGGGG
rnacentral:sRNA from 2 species